GACAGAGGUGCCAAGCGUUAGGCGGAAUCACUGGGCUUAAAGGCGUGUGUAGGCGGAAUUGUAAGUACCUUGUGAAAUCCACGGCUCAACCGUGGAACUGCUCGGUAUACUGCUUUUCUUGAGCCAGCUUAGGGGCUGUCGGAACAAACGGUGGAGCGGUGAAAUGCGUAGAUAUCAGGAGGAACACCCGUGGCGAAGGCGGCCCCUGGGUCGGCCCUGACGCUGAGGCGCGAAAGCGUGGGGAGCAAACAGG
rnacentral:rRNA from 1 species